AGAUGUGGCAGGCUGGAAAGAGACAAGCCUCAAAAGCCUUCAACCUCUAUGCUAAUAUUGAUAUCCUCCGGCCCUACUUUGACGUUGAGCCAAACCAAGUUCGGAACAGAUUGCUGGAAUCCAUGAUACCUGUCAAGAUGAUCAAUUUCCCCCAGAAGAUAGCUGGUGAGCUUUAUGGUCCUCU